rnacentral:rRNA from 1 species
GUGGGGAAUAUUGCACAAUGGGCGAAAGCCUGAUGCAGCGACGCCGCGUGAGGGAUGACGGCCUUCGGGUUGUAAACCUCUUUCAGCAGGGACGAAGCGCAAGUGACGGUACCUGCAGAAGAAGCACCGGCUAACUACGUGCCAGCAGCCGCGGUAAUACGUAGGGUGCAAGCGUUGUCUGGAAUUACUGGGCGUAAAGAGUUCGUAGGCGGUUUGUCGCGUCGUUUGUGAAAACCAGCAGCUCAACUGCUGGCUUGCAGGCGAUACGGGCAGACUUGAGUACUGCAGGGGAGACUGGAAUUCCUGGUGUAGCGGUGAAAUGCGCAGAUAUCAGGAGGAACACCGGUGGCGAAGGCGGGUCUCUGGGCAGUAACUGACGCUGAGGAACGAAAGCGUGGGUAGCGAACAGGAUUAGAUACCCUUGUAGUCC